CUCUGUUCUCAAGAUAGAGUACACUCUCUUAAACUUUAGAUUUUCCUUGCUGUUGCUCUCAGAUCUAAUUCUGGUUUUCUGCAACUUUCAAUUCUUUCAAGGUGGUGUGAUGAUGGCCUGUGGGCUGAGAGCUCUGGAAGCUGCUGAUUCAAUUGCCUCAAGGGAUUGCUGAUGGCUUGCAGAGGUCAACUGUCCAUUGGCAGCCAGCAGAGAUCACAAUUCCGACAGUUCCCCAUUAUGUCAGGAAAAAGCCAAGAUCAAGACUGGUAUUAUUCCUCUCCCCAAGAAGAAAACAGAAAAACAAGACAACAACAACAACAACCCAGAGCUUUCAGUAGAUUGAUUGGUUCUUAA